GAUGAACGCUGGCGGCGUGCCUAAUACAUGCAAGUCGAGCGAACGGAUGAGAAGCUUGCUUCUCUGAUGUUAGCGACGGACGGGUGAGUAACACGUGGAUAACCUACCUAUAAGACUGGGAUAACUUCGGGAAACCGUAGCUAAUACCGGAUAAUAUUUUGAACCGCAUGGUUCAAAAGUGAAAGACGGUCUUGCUGUCACUUAUAGAUGGAUCCGCGCUGCAUUAGCUAGUUGGUAAGGUAACGGCUUACCAAGACAACGAUGCAUAGCCGACCUGAGAGGGUGAUCGGCCACACUGGAACUGAGACACGGUCCAGACUCCUACGGGAGGCAGCAGUAGGGAAUCUUCCGCAAUGGGCGAAAGCCUGACGGAGCAACGCCGCGUGAGUGAUGAAGGUCUUCGGAUCGUAAAACUCUGUUAUUAGGGAAGAACAUAUGUGUAAGUAACUGUGCACAUCUUGACGGUACCUAAUCAGAAAGCCACGGCUAACUACGUG
rnacentral:rRNA from 1 species